CGAAAAUUUCCUUAAUUUCAAAACUUUCUAGAUUCUGGAGAUUUUAGGAAAUUUGAGAUUCUGUUUUCUAUGCUAACCCUUACCCUGCUUCUCAGGUUACCAUUUUGUUUCCUUAAUUUCCGAAACCUAGAAAUUUUGGAAACUUUGCUAAUAAAAGCGUUACACGGCUGGAACAAUUGAUCAUCCACUUCUCUUGCGUUCUUUUACAAAUUGCUCUCUGCAUAAUCGCC
rnacentral:lncRNA from 1 species